UUCCUCUCGUCAAAACCUUCAAGAAGCACUACUCAUUUGCGUGUUUCGGUGAAAUUGAUGCCGGACCCUGUCGGCGCCCCAAUACGUCGCCAUGUUUCAUUGACUCUGCAAAUUCGUCGAUGCUUUUGGACUCGUUUGGACGUGUUGUCGACAUCUCAUGGUUGCUGAAAAUCAUUAUGGUCCUUAUAUCUUAUGAAAGCGUCAAAUUGAGUUAUUUCAGGUUAUCGAUUGGGGAUCCACGCUCUAU